GACCAAUGUUUUGAUGGAUUAUUUUUGGCAUUUUUUUAUUCGUACAAUCGGAGAAAAAAUAAGAUUUAAAAAAAAAACCAACAAAGUGCUAAGAAAACUUGGGGGUUUUCCCUUCACAUUUUUCAUUUCGGUGUCAUUAUGGACCUGGUCACUACAUUUGUUUAUUGAAAUCCUGCGAUUAUUACACCAAAUUGUUCAUUUUAUGACGGAAGUGCAAUAUCUAAACAAAACAAGGGCGUUAAAAUUGCAUAUGUUGUUUACCAAUACAGUUAGAUCCGGAAUGCCCAGUGCCACACGUUAUAUGGGUUCUGAACUUUUUGCUUUGACUGUAUCGAAAUAACAGGGCCCAGUGUCGGGAAAACCGAUCAUGCUUUCCUCAAAAUACUCAUUUUGUUUUCAUUAACCACAGCUUUUGUGCAUUGUUAUUGAUAAAUUGUUUUCUCACUUAGCAGACAUACAGUUCAUAUUGAAAGCGUCACCAAACUGUUUGAAUAGCUUGUAACCAUGGUAACCUGGGAUGUGUUUUGUUAUUACUCACAGAGAAAGCGUUGUUAACCGGUUUCUGAUUGCCUUCAUUUCUCUGUCACGCAUGCGCAUUCUCGCUCAGAAUCCAUUAAAAAUGGAUCAACUGUUGUUUACGUAUUGUAAAAAUAAAAUAAUGAAGCUACAACAUGUAAUGGCUGCCUUGAACUUUAUUUUUUAUCAAGACUUUAUUUCACUUUUGCUCUUUCCCCGUUUUUUAUACAGAUAUAUUUUCUUUUUUACUUCUUGUGUGUGUAAAUGUAUUGAAUCAUUUUUGUUAAUUUUUUAUAUGAUGUCGGUAUACACUUACACUUUAGCUAUCAAGAACAUGUUGUUUUGUCGGUUAUUUAAGUCAAUUUGUUUUUAUUUUCUAUAAAAUUAUUAGAGUCAAAAUUGAGAUAACAAUUAUAGUUGUGGGAAAAUUAGAAAAAGCUACUGAAUUUUCUGUUGUAAAUGAUGUUAAAGGGUGAACAAAGAAGAUUGAAAAAUGUUUGAUUCUGAAUAUUAAUCAAAACAUACACAAGCGAGAUUUACUAAGUCUAUUCCAUAUUAUGUUGUGUCAGUGAUAUGCAAUGCAAAGGUUGUAUUUAGUUUUGAACAGUGCUGUAGUAAUUAUUUAUAUUGAAAGAAUAAGUAGUUCUUAUAUGUUUGUAAUCUAAAAACAAAGGAACGACUUUUCAGUAAAAGUAAAAAUAAAAGGUCUUAGUUUC
rnacentral:misc_RNA from 1 species